rnacentral:rRNA from 1 species
GACGAACGCUGGCGGCAUGGAUUAGGCAUGCAAGUCGAACGGUAUCAUCCUUUCGGGGGGUGAGAGAGUGGCGAACUGGUGAGUAACACGUAGGUUAUCUACCCUCAAGACGGGGACAACCCAGGGAAACUUGGGCUAAUACCGGAUGUGAGCAACUUUUUAGUUGUUUGAAAGGUGGCGUAAGCUGUCGCUUGGGGAUGAGCCUGCGUCCUAUUAGUUAGUUGGUGAGGUAACGGCUCACCUAGGCAAUGAUAGGUAGGCGGCCUUAACGGGUGGUCGCCCACACUGGGAUUGAGAUACGGCCCAGACUCCUACGGGAGGCAGCAGUCGAGAAUAGUCUACAAUGGUCGGAAGACUGAUAGUGCGACGCCGCGUGAACGAUGAAUCCCUUCGGGGUGUAAAGUUCUUUUAUAUGUGAGCAGUGCUUCUUAUAUUAACAGUAUGGGGAGAGAGAUAUUAGCAUAUGAAUAAGCAACGGCUAACUCCGUGCCAGCAGCCGAC